GACGAACGCUGGCGGCGUGCUUAACACAUGCAAGUCGAACGGAAAGGCCCUGCUUUUGUGGGGUGCUCGAGUGGCGAACGGGUGAGUAACACGUGAGUAACCUGCCCUUGACUUUGGGAUAACUUCAGGAAACUGGGGCUAAUACCGGAUAGGAGCUCCUGCUGCAUGGUGGGGGUUGGAAAGUUUCGGCGGUUGGGGAUGGACUCGCGGCUUAUCAGCUUGUUGGUGGGGUAGUGGCUUACCAAGGCUUUGACGGGUAGCCGGCCUGAGAGGGUGACCGGCCACAGUGGGACUGAGAGACGGCCCAGACUCCUACGGGAGGCAGCAGUGGGGAAUAUUGCACAAUGGGCGGAAGCCUGAUGCAGCAACGCCGCGUGCGGGAUGACGGCCUUCGGGUUGUAAACCGCUUUCGCCUGUGACGAAGCGUGAGUGACGGUAAUGGGUAAAGAAGCACGGGCUAACUACGUG
rnacentral:rRNA from 1 species